GACGAACGCUGGCGGCGUGCUUAACACAUGCAAGUCGAACGGAAAGGCCCUGCUUUUGUGGGGUGCUCGAGUGGCGAACGGGUGAGUACCACGUGAGUAACCUGCUCUUGACUUUGGGAUAACUUCAGGAAACUGGGGCUAAUACCGGAUAGGAGCUCCUGCUGCAUGGUGGGGGUUGGAAAGUUUCGGCGGUUGGGGAUGGACUCGCGGCUUAUCAGCUUGUUGGUGGGGUAGUGGCUUACCAAGGCUUUGACGGGUAGCCGGCCUGAGAGGGUGACCGGCCACAUUGGGACUGAGAUACGGCCCAGACUCCUACGGGAGGCAGCAGUGGGGAAUAUUGCACAAUGGGCGGAAGCCUGAUGCAGCAACGCCGCGUGCGGGAUGACGGCCUUCGGGUUGUAAACCGCUUUCGCCUGUGACGAAGCGUGAGUGACGGUAAUGGGUAAAGAAGCACCGGCUAACUACGUG
rnacentral:rRNA from 1 species